UUUAGCGCCUACUGAAAGAUUGGUUCAUUAAUAUAUUCCUUCUUGCGUUUCAUAUACAUACGCAUAUGUUAAUUCUUUGUUGCUGCACGCGCCGAGAUUACUCAGCUCUUCGGUAAGUAAGAAAAAUUCUAUUUUCAACCCACAUCCGCUUUAUUUAUAUACAUAAUACGUACAUUUCGCUGGCGAUAACUAACAACAAACCAAGCGUAAUCU